UACGGAGGGAGCUAGCGUUGUUCGGAAUUACUGGGCGUAAAGCGCGCGUAGGCGGCUUUGUAAGUUAGAGGUGAAAGCCCGGGGCUCAACUCCGGAAUUGCCUUUAAGACUGCAUCGCUAGAAUCCGGGAGAGGUGAGUGGAAUUCCGAGUGUAGAGGUGAAAUUCGUAGAUAUUCGGAAGAACACCAGUGGCGAAGGACG
rnacentral:rRNA from 1 species